CUCAACUCCGCGCUGACGGCGUCGGACACCUCCACGGAGCCCCGAGCCGCCGGCAGGCCGCGGACCGGGCCGGAGACAACCAGAAAGAAGUUGCGGAGCCGAACGGGGUGUCGGGCCCGCCUCGCCCGACCCCUCACGGAGUCAAUAUUUCCCAGAUUUCUGAAACACAGUGCCAUCAUAGUACAGGAGUGUGAAACACUUGAUGGAGCGAAGAUGAAGAGAUGGCAGAGAAGAGGAUAUGCCACAAAAAGCAUAAG
rnacentral:lncRNA from 1 species